GUAACACGUUUGUAACUUACCUUUAACUGGAGGAUAGCUCCUCGAAAGAGGGAUUAAUACUCCAUAACAUUAUGAAAUGGCAUCAUUUUAUAAUUAAAGCUCCGGCGGUUAAAGAUAGACAUGCGUCUGAUUAGCUAGUUGGCGAGGUAAAAGCUCACCAAGGCUACGAUCAGUAGGGGUUCUGAGAGGAUAUACCCCCACACUGGUACUGAGACACGGACCAGACUCC
rnacentral:rRNA from 1 species